rnacentral:rRNA from 1 species
UACGUAGGGGGCAAGCGUUGUCCGGAAUCAUUGGGCGUAAAGAGCGUGUAGGCGGCCCGGUAAGUCCGCUGUGAAAGUCCAGGGCUCAACCCCGGGACUGCGUCCGAUACUCUCGAGCUGGAGGCAGGUAGGGGAGAUCGGAAUUCCUGGUGUAGCGGUGAAAUGCGCAGAUAUCAGGAGGAACACCGGUGGCGAAGGCGGAUCUCUGGGCCUUGCCUGACGCUGAGGCGCGAAAGCUAGGGGAGCGAACAGG